rnacentral:rRNA from 1 species
AGCAGUAGGGAAUCUUCCACAAUGGGCGGAAAGCCUGAUGGAGCAACGCCGCGUGUGUGAUGAAGGGUUUCGGCUCGUAAAACACUGUUGUAAGAGAAGAAUGACAUUGAGAGUAACUGUUCAAUGUGUGACGGUAUCUUACCAGAAAGGAACGGCUAAAUACGUGCUAG